rnacentral:lncRNA from 1 species
CUCCCUUUUCAUUGAGCAUGUUCUUUAAUUAGGUUGCAAUUGUGAAACUUGUUUUGGUUUUUUUAUUGUAUAAUAUGAAGCUUCCAAAUGGUUUGAUCAUGAAAAUAAGUUACCAAAUUUCUGUGUGCAGUGAGCUGGGAGCCAGGGUCAUAUGUGGUGUCCUUCCCUGAAUGAGCACUAUUGAGUUAUCUGCUUCCCUUGAUUAACCCUUCAUUUAGAACUACAAGACAAAGCUUGAAAAAAUUGGCCUGUUGUCUUCCUGUUCACAUAAAUCUGCAACCUGGGUGUUACUAAUGUUUCCUCAACCAACUUAUAGUCACUUUUAACUGACAAGUGUAUCAUAACAGGUAUUCUGAUCUAUCUUUUUUGUUAGUUGCAGGUUCAGAAGCGUAGUAAUGAUAUUUGCUAACAGCUAUAUGAAAAGGAGCUGUUAAUAGGUAAAUCCUACCUCCACAUAUACAGGUUUGUUUGCUAUUACUUACAAUUACUACGCUUGGUUUAUCUUUCCCCUUUCCGUAUUGUUAAUGCUUGUGGUUAUAGAUUGACAUUAUUGAAGCAAAGAUCAUUUUUACAUAAAUGUUACAGGUGGCCGCAUGUUAGUAGGCUUGCUGAUUAGGAAUCACAUAAGUAAUUAGCCUCAGUAUCCCAGCCCAAUUAUUCAAUUAAUCAGUUGUUAACAUGGAUACACCGAGCCAAAUUAUAUAUGCUAGAUCAAUUUGUGUUAUUAUUUUUAUAAUAAUCAGAUCCAAGCUUUCCCUGUUGUACUUUAGUUUACCUGUUGUUCUUUGGUUAGCUGAUAAAAUUUAUGUUGUCCUAUUGAGAUUAAAUAUCCGCACUACCCAUAUUAAAGUGUACAGGGUUAUUCCUUUUUUUCGUUUUCACUUUAGCUUCCAUGUCUUGUUUGUUUCUAAAAUUGGGUAUUGUAUGAGGUACCUGCAUUUUCCAGCUUGCUAGAUUUGUUAAACACAUAAUCAUGGAAAAUGACUGAUGAAGAAGAGUUGUUGUUUUUGAGGAGCAAGGUACACGAUAUAUAUGCAGGGCCUCAUUGGUCAAUGGCUCAAUGGAUAAAAGGCCGUGCAUGUUCUCUUUACAAAAAUAAGAGAAAACCUUCAUGUGUUCCAGAUGCUUACUCGUGGUGAUGCCAACCUUUUCGGCUUUUCCUAUUUUAGAAGUUACUGGUUCUGUCAUAUGAAUAUCACCAUUUUUAAUUCUUUCAGUUGUAGAAAACAUUACUGGAACUUGCAUGAGCUUGUAUACCAUUUUGACCUCCUCGAAUUGAACGUUUCAUCUACUGAAGCACUCUGCUUGUGUACAGUUUGUAGGAGUUUGGAGUACUCUGCGCACCUACCUGUAGCGUGCCAUCACAACCACUUGCACAACAAGAGGUUUGCGCGCCACAUGUAAACUUCCUCUCCUUCCUCCCAGUCUCUAGCCACCCAUUGAGGGCUGGCACAUCAUGCCAAGGUGGGUUUCUCUGGAUCGUUCUCCAUCCGCUUCCAGAUCUCUAAUACUCUUAUCUUUCCGCCUAUCUAUGCAAGUGUUGUGGUUCCUUUCUCAUCCUUUUCUUAAAUAAACCUCUAAUUGAGGAGAGCAUCUUCUCACAACUUGUUACUACACUUUCUGGAUGGCCUGAUCUAAUAUUUUUUUUGGAUUUCUGUCUUCGAAGUACUUGACAAAUUUAUUGUAUAGAUAAAUAUGUUGUAGAAAAUGGCAUAGCCGAAUUGCUUGAUAUGUUUAUGCAAUUAAGCUGCUAGGAUAACUUCUGUAUAGUACUUCCUGUAAGAAAAGCACAAUCAUUCUAUCAACUAUACUAAUGAAAAAUGCAUAUAAUGUACCAUGAAAAUGGGAACAGAAUGUUCAAUUACUUUUGUUAAAGUACCGAUCUUCUGUGGUUCCAGCAUACUACAGCAGAUUGAUGAUUAAAGAGUAUUAGUGUUGAUAUAGUCCUCUUGGUUUAAGAUGAAUUAUUUUGUUUCUUUAAUCUAGGAAGCUGCAAAUCCUUUUUGACUUCUGUGAUGUGGUUACCACUACAACACACAAGUAUUGUAAGUACUUCCAAGCCAUUCCGGUAAUUGUGUGAUCCAUGCCUUUCACAAGUUGCAUUCACCAACGGACAUGCCUCAUUCCAGUAAUAUGCGGCAGAAAUAAUCUGUUAUUCAAAUGUUUACUGAACUGCUCAUGCUUACACUAAACAUUUUAUAUUUAAAAAAAUGUCAUUUGUUUUGAUUUUUCAUGACUUAGUAGGGUUCAAUUUUCCAUUUGCCACCAAUAUUCUCAUGAGUUGUAUGGCUGAUACUUCAAUCAAGACCAAUUUCCCUUUCUACUUUUUUGUUGAAUGGAUAGUCUAGCUAUUUGAAGGUAUCAGUACAUAAAUUAAUUUCUAAAAUAAUUCCAAUUAGUAUUUUCUGGCAAGCAUGCACAUUAAAGUUUCACUGUCUGCAAUACAUUAUUUUUGUUGUUAUACCGCUUGGACAACCUGUAUGACUACCCAAAUUAUUCUUUGUAUACUAACUCAUAAGAUUAUCUAGCCACCCUACCAAAAUGGUUGUCUUCAUCAAAAUCUGAUUUUCCUUGUUCCUUUCUAUAUCUCAGAAUUAGUAUUGUUUUUAUUUUUGUCGAUCACCUGCCUAUUUUUAUGGAGAGGUUUGUUAUUGACCUAGGUCCAAAUGUUUCACUAUCUGUUUAUUUUCCUUGGUGCUGGGAUACGAUGAUGAGUAUGAUGAUGCCAUUGGUCCACGUGAUGAUCUUGGUGACACUCAGCUAAAUUCAUCUGUUAGCGGGAGAAAACUCGAUGAUGGUGUUCAUGAGAGCGUAGUGAAGUGAAUGUUGCCUUUGAGAGACACAUCAAAGCAAGUGGAAAUAUUAGUCCAAUUCGAUCCUAGAUGUCACACAUUGCAUGUAUGAAUCAUGGUGGAUUCUAAGAUAUGUUAUUUUGCUAUUUCACUAUAACAUAUAUGUACAUGCUAUUUAAGAUAGCCGAAAGAGGAAAUGAGAAACCUAUCGUAUUUGUUUCCAUUGCGUGUUGAUGUGUUGUUUUCAUUUUUGAAUGUCUGAUGGUUUCAGAGAGAAAUCACCCUUAAUUUUUCAUCUUAUGAUAUGCUAUCUUAGGUGCAAGUUAUUAACUAUGUUAACAUCUGUUUUAAUUUUAUAACUGAAAAUGUGGUUGAUGUGUUUGUCAAUUGACAUUCGUGAUUAUUCUUACUUUGCAC